rnacentral:rRNA from 1 species
CCUACGGGAGGCAGCAGUGGGGAAUAUUGCACAAUGGGGGAAACCCUGAUGCAGCGACGCCGCGUGAGUGAAGAAGUAUUUCGGUACGUAAAGCUCUAUCAGCAGGGAAGAAAAUGACGGUACCUGACUAAGAAGCCCCGGCUAACUACGUGCCAGCAGCCGCGGUAAUACGUAGGGGGCAAGCGUUAUCCGGAUUUACUGGGUGUAAAGGGAGCGUAGACGGCAGCGCAAGUCUGGCGUGAAAUCCCAUGGCUUAACCAUGGAACUGCUUUGGAAACUGUGCAGCUAGAGUGCAGGAGAGGUAAGCGGAAUUCCGAGUGUAGCGGUGAAAUGCGUAGAUAUUAGGAGGAACACCAGUGGCGAAGGCGGCUUACUGGACUGUAACUGACGUUGAGGCUCGAAAGCGUGGGGAGCAAACAGGAUUAGAUACCCGUGUAGUC